AUUGAACGCUGGCGGCAGGCCUAACACAUGCAAGUCGAGCGGAUGAAGGGAGCUUGCGCCUGGAUUCAGCGGCGGACGGGCGAGUAAUGCCUAGGAAUCUGCCCGGUAGUGGGGGAUAACGUCCGGAAACGGGCGCUAAUACCGCAUACGUCCUGAGGGAGAAAGGGGGGGAUCUUCGGACAUCGCGCUAUCAGAUGACACUAGGUCGGAUUAGCUAGUUGGUGGGGUAAAGGCCUACCAAGGCGACGAUCCGUAACUGGUCUGAGAGGAUGAUCAGUCACACUGGAACUGAGACACGGUCCAGACUCCUACGGGAGGCAGCAGUGGGGAAUAUUGGGCAAUGGGCGAAAGCCUGAUGGAGCCACGCCGCGUGUGUGAAGAAGGUCUUCGGAUUGUAAAGCACUUUUAGUUGGGAGGAAGGGCAGUGAGUUAAUACCUGGCUGUUUUGACGGUACCAACAGAAUAAGCACCGGCUAACUUCGUG
rnacentral:rRNA from 1 species